AUACGGAGGGUGCGAGCGUUAAUCGGAAUUACUGGGCGUAAAGCGCGCGUAGGCGGUUCGAUAAGUCUGAUGUGAAAGCCCUGGGCUUAACCUGGGAAUGGCAUUGGAUACUGUUGAACUAGAGUGCGGGAGAGGAGAGUGGAAUUCUCGGUGUAGCGGUGAAAUGCGUAGAUAUCGGGAGGAACACCAGUGGCGAAGGCGGCUCUCUGGACUGACACUGACGCUGAGGUGCGAAAGCGAGGGUAGCAAACAGGAUUAGAAACCCCGGUAGUCC
rnacentral:rRNA from 1 species